rnacentral:rRNA from 1 species
UACAGAGGGUGCGAGCGUUGUCCGGAAUCACUGGGCGUAAAGCGCACGUAGGCGGUUCGUUAAGUCGGAUGUGAAAGCCCUCGGCUCAACUGAGGAAGUGCACCCGAAACUGGCGAGCUUGAGUACGAAAGAGGAUCGCGGAAUUCCCGGUGUAGAGGUGAAAUUCGUAGAUAUCGGGAGGAACACCGGUGGCGAAGGCGGCGAUCUGGGUCGAUACUGACGCUGAGGUGCGAAAGCGUGGGGAGCAAACAGG